rnacentral:rRNA from 1 species
AGCGCAGACGGUUAUUUAAGUCUGAAGUGAAAGCCCUCAGCUCAACUGAGGAAUGGCUCUGGAGACUGGAUGACUUGAGUGCAGUAGAGGAAAGUGGAACUCCAUGUGUAGCGGUGAAAUGCGUAGAUAUAUGGAAGAACACCAGUGGCGAAGGCGGCUUUCUGGACUGUAACUGACGUUGAGGCUCGAAAGUGUGGGUAGCAAACA